GGAAUCUUCGGCAAUGGGGGCAACCCUGACCGAGCAACGCCGCGUGAGUGAAGAAGGUUUUCGGAUCGUAAAGCUCUGUUGUAAAGAAGAACACGUAUGAGAGUAACUGUUCAUACGUUGACGGUAUUUAACCAGAAAGUCACGGCUAACUACGUGCCAG
rnacentral:rRNA from 1 species